CGCGUAGGUUGUUGUGUCAGUGAUGGGUGAAAGCCCCGGGCUUAACCUGGGACCGUCCUGUCAUACUGCACAACUAGAGUACAGCAGAGGUAAGUAGAAUUUCCGGUGUAGCGGUGAAAUGCGUAGAUAUCGGAAAGAACAUCAGUGGCGAAGGCGACUUACUGGGUUGAUACUGACACUGAGGCGCGAAAGCGUGGGUAGCGAACAGGAUUAGAUACCCUGGUAGUCC
rnacentral:rRNA from 1 species